CUGCUGCCUUCCGUAGGAGUCUGGUCCGUGUCUCAGUACCAGUGUGGGGGACCUUCCUCUCAGAACCCCUACGCAUCGUCGCCUUGGUGGGCCGUUACCCCGCCAACAAGCUAAUGCGACGCAUGACCAUCCGUAGCCGGAAUCGCUUCCUUUAAACCCACAGAGAUGCCUCCAUGGGUUGUUACGCGGUAUUAGACGGAAUUUCUUCCGCUUAUCCCCCUGCUACGGGCAGGUUUCAUACGUGUUACUCACCCGUGCGCCGGUCGCCGG
rnacentral:rRNA from 1 species